rnacentral:rRNA from 1 species
UAGGGAAUAUUGCAAAAUGGGCGAAAGCCCGAUGCAGCAACGCCGCGUGGGCGAUGAAGGCCUUCGGGUCGUAAAGCCCUUUUUGAGGGGAUGAGGAAGGACAGUACCCUCAGAAUAAGCCUCGGCUAACUACGUGCCAGCAGCCGCGGUAAAACGUAGGAGGCGAGCGUUAUCCGGAUUUACUGGGCGUAAAGCGCGUGCAGGCGGAUUGGAGAGUUGGAUGUGAAAGCUCCCGGCUUAACUGGGAGAGGUCGUUCAAUACUUCCGGGCUUGAGUGCAGUAGAGGGAAGUGGAAUUACGGGUGUAGUGGUGAAAUGCGUAGAUAUACGGAGGAACACCAGUGGCGAAAGCGGCUUCAUGGACUGUAACUGACGCUCA